UACGUAGGGCGCAAGCGUUGUCCGGAAUUAUUGGGCGUAAAGAGCUCGUAGGCGGUCUGUUACGUCUGCUGUGAAAACCCAGGGCUUAACCCUGGGCUUGCAGUGGAUACGGGCAGACUAGAGGCAGGUAGGGGAGAAUGGAAUUCCCGGUGUAGCGGUGAAAUGCGCAGAUAUCGGGAGGAACACCGGUGGCGAAGGCGGUUCUCUGGGCCGGACCUGACGCUGAGGAGCGAAAGCGUGGGGAGCGAACAGG
rnacentral:rRNA from 1 species